rnacentral:lncRNA from 1 species
UUUGCAUUCAGGUUGAAGAUAAUACGACUACCCGUGCAAUGCUGUAUUUCGNAGGGACGGAGCCCAUGACCGACAAGCGUAAAACAAUAGGCACACGUGAUGCCCACCGUUUCAAAGGAUGUACCAUCUUUCUCUCACACAGUCUCUAUACCAAUCGGCCAAAUGGCCAAUAAAGAAAGCACACAUCUGAACAAUUGGCUUGCAAAUGGCACGUUUGUACAUUGGAUCGAUCAAAUUGGGCCUGUAGCAUUUGAGACCAUGGCACUUCAUAAAUUGGACGAUACAGAUUAGUUUAAAUCCCUCUGGAAGAUUGAGUUUCAUAUUCCGUUCAGUUAAGGAUUNUGUUUCAUUGAUUGGACCGAUGUUAUAACAUGAUUUGAACGAUUUAUAUCAAGUCCAGCUGCAUCAGAAAAACAAGCGAACGUCAGCUACGGAAAAACCCCGGACGUGACGCAGGCGACGGAGUAAGGAUGAUGUCGCUCAUCCUGUUGCCAAGAUGAAAAAGCCAGGGAAAAAGCCAGCUUAUUUGACAAAAAAGACGAUUUUCGUGGCAUUGAGAUUUGAAUAGAGCGGACUGCCUAUAGUCAUUGUAUUGAGACCUUGGUGCAUAGAAGCGUGGAAAGUACACGUGCCAGACUUGAAAUUCUUAUGUUUUACUGACAAGACUAAACAAUGAACAACAGCCAUCCUCAACUUCACAGAAAAAAAAAAUCAAAUCACGCUCUUCUCGUAAUCAAUUAAUACUCCACGAAUAAAAUCACGAAGAAUUCUAAUGACACUUUAGUGGUUCUGGAUUACUUUUACAAGGGCCUCUGUGUUCGUCUCAUUGAUAUUUGAAUCUGUAUAAAUUGUACAAUGUAUAUUAUUGUUCCUGGUCAAGUUUGGAUCAUAAUUAAAAAAAAACCCGAAAAAUGUAAAGUUCAAUUGCUAUUUCUAGAAUAAUUUCGAGGUUAAAUGACUGUGAAGCCCUAAACGUUUAGUGCGAUGUGUGUAGAAAUAUAACGCUUUGUUUAGAAUUAAAAUUACUGUCAGCUGUA